UCUUCACUGAUUCGGUUCAAAUUGGUUUUAUAAGUUGAAUAACAUCUGGACCGUUCAUUUGGUAUGUGACACGUGUCAAUCACUGAGAUGGGUAUUUCACAGAAUUGCACCGAUGGGGAAUUGCAGAGGAUUUUUGUCCCUACUUGUGGCUUCAGUUCUUCUUCUUACCUUCUCUUGGUUCGAUUCCCCUUCCUCCUUAUUCUUCUUUCUUUUUGGUUUCUCUUAUCCUUCCCCUGUUCCAGCAUAUCAACAGCCCUCCCCCAUCUCAAAUUAAAUCUACAUCAUUCUUUUUCCUUUAAUCUAAGACUCUAUAGGGAAGUCAUAAACCCUCGGGCGACCUAAGCCCCAGAGUCUCAACCCAAGUUGACUUACCCCUAAGAGAACCAGAUCCAAACCCUUGCUGAAAUAGAAAUUCCACCCAACCUUUACGUUGCAGUCUUCCUCAACUUCUUGGUGUCGCAGUCUUCCUCAACUUCUUGGCCCAUACUGAUUCCAAAUAGGGUUUCCAAACCCCAGGAUCGCCAUCAAUUACGGGAAUAAUACCAAGAGGAGAAGGGAAUAAGAAGAACUGCAGCCACCAGUAGGCCACGCAACACACCACACUCAUGAGGUGUUGCUGGUUUUGAAUUCUGAUGCACCAGUAGUGAGCUCUCCUCAAGGUGUCCAGGGUCCUCUGUGGGCUUGUGAGAGGUGCGGAAUUGACUUGAAUUAUUCCAGAAAGGUACCCUUUCCAUUCCUAGCAGAUAUACAAUUUCAUGCACGUAACUCAAAAGGAUUGGCUGAUCAAAUGUCCAUACGAUUUGUUGAUGCUAAUCAUUUGCUUAUACUUGAACAUUUCUCUUAUUGAACAAUUAAACUUUGGCUGCUCAAAGUCCAGCUAGCCAAGAUUAAGAUGUUGGAGGUCUAGACAUUGUGGCAUCAAAUCAGGCAAAAGUAAUCGGUGAUGAAAUUGGUGACAUGGUUGUGGUGACCACCUGAAGGCUGAAGUCAGUAUUUGAUGAAACCAACCAGAUUCAACAUCAGCUUUAGGAGAACAUGCAGAUUUUCAGGCAAGUUAUGGUAUAGUUUAACAAUCAUGUUGUCUACUUCAUAGGUUCUUAAGUAUUUUAUUUUUAUGAGAUUCUGAUAGACUUCACUACAAGAGAGAAAUGAAAUAGAGCAAUCACCUUCCCCUAAUCUUGUCUGCAAAACAAGCAUGCCUUUAUUGGUGAAAUUGGUGAGGCUCUCGAAUUGCUCGACAUUGCAU